UUCAAACUGAACGUAACCAUUAACAGAGAAACGUGUUUUCAGUCAGUUAACGUUUACUCGCUAUAGAGAAUAGCAAGGAAAAUAACUACGUUAAUUAGCUAGAUUUUUUUUUUUUAGAUGGUUCGGUGACUAACUUGCGUUGAUUUCUACAGAUAAGUUUGGAAAUGGCUCAGUUAUCAGCGAGGGGAGGUUUCCUGGAUUUUAGUCCCAUCAAGAAAGAAGAUUCACCUGCUGUUUCUUAUGGCAAUAAAGAAAACAAUAGCUCGCAUCCAGUUUUGAGUUUAAUUCAGUUUUCAAGGGCUCCGUUUGUAACAUUUGGAAAUGUAAAGUUGGGAUCUUCCAAAUCAUCAGUUCUUUGCAUUGAGAAUCCCGUUGAAGAUGCAAACAUAGAGGUGGCAAUUGAUAAGAUUGCAUCGACGAAAGGCUUUUCCGUGGAUCAAACCCGAUUUACAAUUCCGCCUGAGGAGCGUGUCAAUUUGACAAUAACUUGGACACCAAUAGAGGAAGGUGGUAUCCGAGAGCUGAUCACUUUCAUUGCCAAUGGGGUGGUCAAACACCAAGCCAUUUUGCUCGGUAGAGCAGACGCACCCAAAAGAAGAAAGAAGAGUCUGUGGGACUCAAUCAAAAGCAAGAAGGAAUUUGACCUAUCAGACCCUCCAAGGGGGAAGAAAAACUCAGUGUCUUCCCUGAAGAUGGCAGCCAACAAGACCUUCCAUGUGUCACGGACACCACAGUACAGACGGGAGAAGGUUCGCAGCCCUCUUGCCUCACUCAACAAAAAAGCCUGCACACCUGUGGAAGGGCAGAAGUUUAAGCAGGAUGUGUUGGGUCAGUUGAGUUUUGACAAUGUCCAAAAGAACUCGCCUGUUGUCAUUCUAGUCCCCGCUGCAAAGCUAAUCGAUUCCUCUGAUGCAGCAGCCAGCUACAGUUGCCCAGUAGGCACACCUGAGUGCAGAGACCUCACCAGACUACUGAACACGACUGUGUCCCCUGUCGGCACUCCAGAGAGGUUUCAAAAGCUGAUGCCCCAUAUUCAGUCUAUACAGAGCCCAGCCAAUGUGAUUGAUGACACUGUUGCGGACAUAAGCCAUACAGUGUUGGCCGGAACACCAGUGUUGUCUGUGAGAGAUGCACUGGCCUUGAUUGAGUCCGAUCUAACUCAUGUGGUUGGUGCAAGCCCUCCAAAUGCAUGCUCUAGCUUUGAUUUCUCCCACUCCUUGGAGUCAGCAAAUGGAGAGAAGAAUUGUGGCCCUGUCAAAUCUGUGAUUGACAUCAAAGCCCUGUCUGAAAGCCCCAUCAAGUCAGAUCCUGCACAGCCUAGACUAACCUUCUUCAUCAAACCAAAACGUGUUACUGACAAGCAGGGUAGAGUAGAGGUUGGAGAAGUUGUUCCUCAAUCCAAAAAGGUUACUUUCACCUCCACCACAGUCAUCAAAAGCAAACCAGUUCCUGUCCAGGUACGCAGUCCUGGGGUGAGGAGAAUCAAAACCUCCAGGCGCCGUCUCCUGGAGAAAACACUGGAGCUGUCUGGGGACAGUGGCCAUUCAGAGUCAAGCCCGGGUACUACAGUUACCCCUGGUCUCCCUGUCAUAGACUCUGAUGCAAAUCAUGAUUCUCCAUUAACUAUCUCCCCACGGGAGGCCAGGCUGCAGGUGCUGGAGUCAGUUUCCUAUAGGCCAGUUUGUUUGGAUGCAAUCCCUGCUCCAGUCAACCUCUCCCUCAGCUCUCCUCUGCCUAUGAACCCCUCCACUGGUGGCCCCCAGCACCUUGGCCUGGAUGAUUCCAUUCUGGGAGCCACUCAGCUCCACACAGCACCGAUAGUGGAAUCUCUACCUGACGUGUUUCCUGUUUACAACCAGAGCCAGUUUGACAUGAGGGUGGUGCAGAGCAAAAAGAGGAAGAGCGACGAGUUUCUGAGGGAUGGAGGGGAGAAAGUGGAGGAUGCUGCAGAGAAAACCAUGUUCCAUGUGAAAAAGAGUAGGGUGUCAACAGUGGUGAAGGGACCCAACAGACCAGCUCAGCAGAAGGGGUUCAGUGCCUCCUCUCACAGGCAGCAGACAAAAACAUCAGCUUCUGUGCGUACUAGUUCUGCCUCAUCCAUGAAGGCUCCAAAAUCUGUGUCCCCUGCCCAAGCCAAGCAGCCAGCUCCAAAACCUGGCCCGCAAGGUUCACAGAAAUCAUUUGGUGGCUCGUCUGUAAAAACUGCAAAGAUUGUAGCUGUGGCCCAGUCCAAGCUCGCCUUCAUCAAGCCUGGUCAAACAGCCAUACCAAGACACCCGAUGCCGUUCGCUGCGAAGAACAUGUUCUAUGAUGAGCGCUGGAUAGAGAAACAGGAGACUGGGUUUACCUGGUGGAUCAACUACGUCCUCACCCCUGAUGACUUCAAGGUCAACACGGAGGUCACCAAAGUGAAUGCCGUAUCCCUGGCGAUGGGCGGUAAUGACAAAUUUGCCAUCAACAAGGCUCCCACCAAAGAGGAGAUGUCGUUUAGUACGUACACUGCCAGGCGGCGGCUCAACCGGCUGCGUCGCUCCGCCUGCCAGCUCUUCACCUCCGAGCCCAUGGUCAAAGCCAUCCAGAGGCUGGAGUUGGAGGUGGAGGCUAGAAGGUUACUGGUACGCAAGGAUCGGCAUCUUUGGAAGGACAUCGGGGAACGCCAAAAGGUUCUCAACUGGCUUCUAUCGUACAAUCCUCUUUGGUUGCGGAUUGGACUUGAGACUAUUUACGGGGAGAUGAUCUCACUGGAGAGCAACAGUGACGUCAUGGGCUUAGCCAUGUUCAUUCUGAAACGUCUGCUGUGGAACCCUGACAUCGCUGCGGAGUUCAGACAUGCCAAAGUACCCAACCUCUACAAAGAUGGCCACGAGGGGGCGCUGUCUCGUUUCACUCUGAAGAAGCUUCUCCUCCUGGUGUGUUUCCUGGAUAAAGCCAAAGAGUCCAGGAUGAUCGAACAUGACCCCUGUCUGUUCUGUAUGGAUGCGGAAUUCAAGACUACCAAGGACCUGCUGCUGGCUUUUUCCAGGGACUUCCUAAGUGGGGAGGGGAUCCUCCCCCGUCACCUGGGUUACAUGGGCCUACUGGUCUCCCACAUCCAGACGCCUCUGGACGAGUUCAACUUCGCUGUCAAGAAUCUGUCCGUUGACCUUAAGUGUGGAAUCCGUCUAGUGCGUGUGAUGGAGCUGUUCAUCCAGGACUGGAGCUUGUCCCGUAAGCUGAGGAUGCCCGCAAUCAGUCGUCUGCAGAAGGUCCACAACGUUGACAUAGCCCUGCAGGUGCUCCGAGCCAGAGGGGUUGACCUCAAGGAUGAACAUGAUGCUGUCAUUGACUCCAGAGAUAUUGUGGAUGGACACAGGGAGAAGACACUGAGCCUGCUGUGGAAGAUCAUUUUUGCCUUCCAGGUGGAGGUUCUUCUGGAUGAGGACCAGCUGAGAAAAGAGAUCAGUUUCCUCAAACGCACCUGGACCACCAAACAGAGGCUGGCCUCCCUGAGGGCCGACAAAGGUGUGCUGCAGAAUACUGCCAAGCCUAGACCCCCAUUCAAGCACAGUAGCUCAAAGAUCACUCUACUCAUGGAAUGGGUCAAUGCUGUCUGCCAGUUCUACCACUUGAAGGCAGAGAACUUCACGGUGUCGUUCUCAGACGGUCGUAUCCUCUGCUACCUGAUCCACCACUACCACCCCAGCCACCUACCGGCAGACUGCGUCAGCCACAACACCACCCAAACUGUGGAGUGCUCCCAGAGAGGACGAGUUGAACUCAACAGCUCCUCCAGCGACUCGGACAUCUCCUUUGACACCUGGCCCACCACACAAAAUGGCCUUGUGUUGCCAUCCAUGGAGUUCAAAGAGCUUCUGGAGAAUGAGAAGAAUAACUUCAGGCUGGUCAACACUGCAGUGUCUGACUUGGGAGGGGUUCCUGCCAUGAUGAACCCUGCUGACAUGUCAAACACUAUCCCAAAUGAGAAGGUUGUGACAUGUUACCUGUCCUUCCUGUGUGCCCGUCUCCUGGACCUGCGGAAUGAGACGCGUGCUGCCAGGAUCAUCCAGGGAGCUUGGAGAAAGUACCGUCUGAAGAAGGAUCUGAAGCUUUACCAGGAAAGGACUGUAGCAGCGGGGAAGAUCCAGGUGCUGGUCAGGCAGUUUCUCCAGAGACGUAGAGCUGUCUGUCAGACCGCUGCAGCCGUCCGAAUCCAGGCUGCAUGGAGGGGCUACACAGUGCGGAACGCCCUGACACUGAGGAGAAAGGCUCUACUCUGGGCUCGCCAGGUUGCUGCUGCUACCACCAUCCAAGCACAAUGGAAGAAGUAUAUUACCUUGAAAAACUACCAGUGCAUGAGAUUGCAUGUUGUUAAAGUUCAAGCUCUCUGGCGGAUGAAGAUGGCAGUCACUACCUACAGAAGGACACAGUGGGCUGCAACUGUAAUUCAGGAGCAUGUUAGGGCCUCGGCUCUGGCAAGGGAAGAGCGUGAAUGUUACUGCUCGCUGAGAUCAGCAGCUAUCAAAAUCCAGAGAAACUAUCGGAGACGCAAGACUCGGAGACUGCAGAGGGAGAACCAUGCUGCCACAGUGAUACAAACUGCAUUUAAGAAAUGGCACAGUGACAAAAUGGCCCGACUGACCGCAGCUGCCCUGAAGAUUCAGUCUUGCUACAGAAUGCACAGGUGCCUAAAACAGUACAUGGGCGCCCAGCGGAGCGCCAUCCUCAUUCAGGCUUGGUGUAGGGGUCAUGCACAGAGACGCAACUUUGAGACACUGAAACUGCAGCAUCACUCUGCCACUGUCAUCCAAAGUGCUUUUAGGGCAAGGACGGUCAGAAAACAGAUGACGACGAUGAGACAAUCCUCAGUCGUGAUUCAGCGUUGGUUCAGGGCCUCUGUACAAAGAGAUGCAGGGAGGCAACAAUUCCUGAAAAUGAGAUGUGCUGCUGUUACCAUACAGUCCGCUUAUCGUGGACAUACGGCUCGGAGACUACUGCAACAACAGAAUCAGGCAGCCACAGUCAUCCAGACAACUUUCAUGAAGUUUGUGGCCAGACGAAAAUUAUUGUCCUUGAAAAAAUCUGCGAUUGUUGUCCAACAGCAAUUUAGAGCCAAGCUAGUAGGGGAGAAAUCAAGGAAAGAAUAUAUGGCCCUCCAAUAUUCUGCAUUGAGAAUACAAGCUAUCUGGAGAGGUAGGGCAGAGAGGAAGAGGCUUGAAAAACUGCAAAAAUGCGCCACACUCAUUCAGUCUUCCUACCGUAGACAUGUAUUGCAGUCACAGUUCAGGUCAAGAAAGGAGGCUGCUUGGACCAUCCAAAGCCAGUACAGAGCUUAUAGGGCAGGGGAAACAAUUAGAACUGAUUAUCUCCUGGUCAAGAAGGCUGCUGUUACUGUACAAGCCUGGUUCCGUGGCAUGAGAGUUAGGCAAGAGCUGAGGCGAAAACACCAGGCUGCUACUGUCCUUCAGUCAGUAGUGAGAGUCAUUCUCUGUAGAAGACGAUAUGUGUUACUGCAACGUGCCGCUGUAGUCCUCCAGUGUCGGUACCGGGCUCUUGUAGCAAGCAGAACACAGCGAGCGCAGUACAGCCAGCUGAAAUUGGCUACAGUAAAGCUACAGUCUGCUUACCGGGGAUCCAGCGUCCGAAGAGACCUAAGGAUGAAACACCAAGCUGCUACGGUCAUCCAAGCUCAGUUAAGGAUGCACAAAGUGCGUCAGGCCUAUCUUGCCACAAAGGUGGCGGCCAUCAUUGUACAGCAGCAUUUCAGGGCCAAUCGGCUCCGAGAUCUACAGAUGCAAGGGUACACCUCAGUGAAGUCCGCUGCAGUUGUGAUUCAGGCAGUGUAUCGCGGUCACAGAGCAAGAAUGGAGGUUGCUAGGAUGCACCACUCAGCCAUGAUCAUUCAGAGGAGGUUCCUCACUUUCAGGGACAGGAAACGCUUCCUUGCGGUCAAAACUGCUGUUCUACUAUGUCAACAGAGAUGCAGGUAUGUUGCCAUGGUAAGAAAAGACCAGAGGGACUAUCUGUUGAAGCUUAGGGCAGCCACUGCUCUGCAAGCAGCUUUCAGAGGGCUGAAGGUCCGGAAGCAGUUGCAGACUGAAUGCAGAGCGGCCAUACUCAUUCAAUCUCACAUCCGGAAACACCUGCAGAGGGCGCACUAUGAGAUGCUUCAGUGGGCUGUGAACACAGUGCAGGCUCGUUACAGAGCCAACAAGAAGAUGAUGGAAGACAGGAAAGCACUGUGCAUAAAGAGGAGGGCUGUUGUGUUACAGGCUGCCUUCCGGGGCAUGCUAUCCAGACAGCGCAUGAGAGAGAUGCACAAGGCCGCCAGUGUUCUCCAGAGAAGUUACAGGGCGCACUGCGAACGCCGACAGUACCUCUCCUUGAGAUCCUCUGUCCUUGCCAUUCAACAAAAAUAUCGUGCCGCUGUUGCAGUGAAACAGCAGAUGCAUCACUACCAACGAAUGCGCAGUGCUGCAAUCCUGUUCCAAGCAGCAUACAGAGGCCAGAGAGCCAGAAAGGAGAUCAGGCUUCAACAUCAAGCUGCCACCACGAUCCAGGCUGGCUUCCGAAAGCACAGAGAGGAAGUCAAGUUCCAGGCCAUGAGGUUUGCUGCCAUCAUCAUCCAGAGAUACUUCAGAUCUCACAUUCAAAGGAAACAAGACAGAGACCAGUUCUUGACACUGAAGGAUUCGGCCAUAGUCCUUCAGGCAGCUUUCAGAGGGCGUUGUGUGCGCCAUGACGUUGCUAAGAUGAAGAGAGCUGCUACUGUGAUUCAGGCCAACUUCAGGAUGCACAAGGAGCAGGUCAAGUUCCAGGCCAUGAGAUUGUCUGCUGUCAUCAUUCAGAGGCACUACAGAUCUCACAUUCAAAUGAAACGAGACCGAGACAGAUUCAUAAAGAUCAGAGAGUCUGCCAUUGUCCUUCAGGAAGCUUUCAGAGAAAUGACUGCACGGAAGCAGUUGCAGACUGAAUGCAGAGCUUCCAUACUCAUUCAAUCUCACGUCCGGAAACGCCUUCAGAGGGCGCACUAUAAGAGGCUUCAGUGGGCUGUGAACACAGUGCAGGCUCGUUACAGAGCCAACAAGAUGAUUGAAGACACGAAAGCACUGUGCAUAAAGAGGAGGGCUGUUGUCGUGUUACAGGCUGCCUUCCGGGGCAUGCUAUCCAGACAGCGCAUGAGAGAGAUGCACAAGGCCGCCAGUGUUCUCCAGAGAAGUUACAGGGCGCACUGCGAAUGCCGACAGUACCUCUCCUUGAGAUCCUCUGUCCUUGCCAUUCAACAAAAAUAUCGUGCCGCUGUUGCAGUGAAACAGCAGAUGCAUCACUACCAACGAAUGCGCAGUGCUGCAAUCCUGUUUCAAGCAGCAUACAGAGGCCAGAGAGCCAGAAAGGAGAUCAGGCUUCAACAUCAAGCUGCCACCACGAUCCAGGCUGGCUUCCGAAAGCACAGAGAGGAAGUCAAGUUCCAGGCCAUGAGGUUUGCUGCCAUCAUCAUCCAGAGAUACUUCAGAUCUCACAUUCAAAUGAAACGAGACCGAGACAGAUUCAUAAAGAUCAGAGAGUCUGCCUUUGUCCUUCAGGCAGCUUUCAGAGCAUAUCACAUUCGACAAGAUGCUGCUAAGAUGCACAGAGCUGCUUCUGUGAUUCAGGCCAACUUCAGGAUGCACAAGGAGCAGGUCAAGUUCCAGGCCAUGAGAUUGUCUGCUGUCAUCAUUCAGAGGUACUACAGAUCUCACCUUCAAAGGAAACAAGACCGAGACCAGUUCUUGACACUGAAGGAUUCGGCCAUAGUCCUUCAGGCAGCUUUCAGAGGGUAUCGCGUUCGACAAGACGUUGCUAAGAUGUGCAGAGCUGCUACUGUGAUCCAGGCCAACUUCAGGAUGCACAAGGAGCAGUCUGCUUAUAGGAGGCAGCAUUGGGCAGCCAGUGUUCUUCAGCAAAGAUUCAGAGCUCAGAGACUGAGGAACUCUCAGUUGGAGAACUACCAUCAGAUGAGAAAUGCUGUGAUAAACCUUCAGGCCUUGUAUAGGGGAAAACAGGCAAUAGAGCUGGCUAAACGGAUGAUGGCAGCCAGGAAGAUUCAGUCAUUUCUGAGAAUGAGCAUCAGACGACAACACUUCUUGAAGGAAAAGGCUGCUGCUCUGUUGAUCCAGUCUGCCUUCAGAAGACACCAGGCCAGGACACGGUACAACGAAACACAAGCCUCUGCAGUCACGAUCCAAAGAUGGUUCAGAUCAUGCAACGUCCUCAGACGACAAAGGGACGACUACUUGGCCAUCAGAGAAGCUGCUGUGAAGCUUCAGUCAGCCAUCCGUGGAACCCUGGCAAGAAGGCUGGCCAGACGCAAACGUGCGGCUGUCAAGAUCCAGUCCGUGAUACGCAUGUCCAUCCAACGGAGAAGUUAUCUGACCCUGCGAUCCAGCACGGUAAAGCUGCAGUCUCACUGCAGGGCUUGGGUGGCGAGGAGGAGAUUCCUGAUGUGUCGGACAGCGGCCGCUACUCUCCAAAAGCACUACAGAGGCCGGCAGGUCCAGAGAGGGCAGCGAUCCCUGUACCUAAAGACCCUGACCAGUGUCAAAAUGCUGCAGGCCAGAGUGCGUGGACACAUCCAACUCAAGAGGUACCGGAAUCUCAAGAGAAGUGCAGUCACAAUUCAGGCAUUUUACCGUGGAAUGGUGGGGAGGCGCCGGUUUCAGCAUCAAAGGGCAUCUGCUGCUAUAAUACAGGAAUGUUUCAGGGCCCAUCUCCUCUGCCGAAGAGAGAGGGCAAAAUACCUGGAAAUGAAGAAGUCUGCUGUUCUUAUUCAAGCAGUGUUCCGUGGUGAUCUUGCCAGACAGAGUGCCAAGAAACGUCAGGCGGCUGUCGCCACAGUCCACCGAUGUAUGCAGACCAGGCAUCUACGCAACAGGUUCCUAGUGAUCCAGUGUAGUGUACGGCUCAUUCAGGGCAGAUGGAGGGAGACCUUGAAAGCCAGGGAAGAGCGUCGCAACUUCCUGGUCAUGAAAGCUGCCGCUGUUACAAUCGAAGCGUCAUGGAGAGGCCAUGCGACCAGGAAUCGCCUGCGUAAGGAGCAGCGGGCUGCGGUGCUGGUCCAGUCGUCCUUCCGGAGAUGGGUCCAGAAACGGGCGUUCCAGAGACAAAGAGAGGCUGCCCUGGUCCUACAGAGGAGAGUCCGAGCUAUGCAGCAGGCUAAAGCAGAGAGGGUCAAAUACACACGUUUGAAACAGGCUACCAUCACUGUCCAGGCUCACUGCAGAGGCUGGAUUGCCAGGAGACAGUUGAGAGAAGCGGCCUCUGCGGAGAGGAGGGUGCGUUUCUGUGCGGCUGUGUACCACCACCUCUGUGCUGUGCGGAUCCAGAGAGCUCUGAGGUCACACUGGGCUCUGCGGUCUGCCAAGAGACAGAUCACCUCUGUCAUUUUUAUACAGAGGUGGCUGAGAGCACGGAUCCAGAGGCGGCGAUACCUGGAGGACAGGAGGAGGGUGGUCGUGGCCCAGAGGGCAGCCAGGAGUUGGUUAGCUCGCCGCCGUCACGCCGCCUCCACCAUCCAGCACGCCGCCAGGACCUUCCUCCUCCGUAGGCGGGAACAGAGGGUUCAGCAGGGCAUCAUCAAGGCACAGGCGUUGUGGCGAGGCCACCAGUCCAGAAAGCUCCAUGACAAUCGUAAAGUGGUGUCCAUGAGGCAUCGUCUGCGGAAGGUGUCUGAGGAGGUACGAGAGGAGGACCGGCUGUGCAACAAGACGUCCUGGGCCAUCGAAUACCUCCUCAAAUACAAGCACUUCUCCUAUAUCUUGGAGGCUCUGAAGAAUCUGGAGACCGCCACUAGGCUGUCCCCAGAGUGCUGUGAGCAUCUGGUGACGAGCGGCGCCACGCUGGUCAUCUUCACGCUGAUCCGCAGCUGCAACCGGAGUGUCCCCUCUAUGGAAGUCAUUACCUACGCCAUCCAGGUGCUCCUCAACCUCUCCAAGUAUGACAAGACAAUCGAGGCGGUUUAUGCGGUGGAGAACUCUGUGGACACACUGCUGGACCUGCUCCAGAUAUACAGGGAGAAGGCCGGAGACAAGGUGGCCGACAAAGGAGGCAGCAUCUUCACCAAGGCCUGCUUCCUCCUGAUCAUCCUGCUGCAGGACCAGUACAGGGCUCUGGUAUGGCACUGCUGCUGCUAUUGCGCCUGCUAUUGCGCCUGCUAUUGCGCCUGCUAUUGCGCCUGCUAUUGCGCCUGCUAUUGCGCCUGCUAUUGCGCCUGCUAUUGCGCCUGCUAUUGCGCCUGCUAUUGCGCCUGCUAUUGCGCCUGCUAUUGCGCCUGCUAUUGCGCCUGCUAUUGCGCCUGCUAUUGCGCCUGCUAUUGCGCCUGCUAUUGCGCCUGCUAUUGCGCCUGCUAUUGCGCCUGCUAUUGCGCCUGCUAUUGCGCCUGCUAUUGCGCCUGCUAUUGCGCCUGCUAUUGCGCCUGCUAUUGCGCCUGCUAUUGCGCCUGCUAUUGCGCCUGCUAUUGCGCCUGCUAUUGCGCCUGCUAUUGCGCCUGCUAUUGCGCCUGCUAUUGCGCCUGCUAUUGCGCCUGCUAUUGCGCCUGCUAUUGCGCCUGCUAUUGCGCCUGCUAUUGCGCCUGCUAUUGCGGCUGCUAUUGCGGCUGCUAUUGCGCCUGCUAUUGCGCCUGCUAUUGCGCCUGCUAUUGCGGCUGCUAUUGCGGCUACAGCUGCUUUUAUUACUAUUAUCGCUGCUGCUAGUGUUGUAAAUACUUUAAAGUACUUAAGUCGUUUUUGGGGGGGUUAUCUGCACUUUACUAUUUAUAUUUUUGACAACUUUUACUUAUCUACAUUCCUAAAGAAAAUAAUGCACUUUUUACUCCAUACAUUUUCCCUGUCACCCAGAAGUACUUGUUACAUUUUGAAUGCUUAACAGGACAGGGAAAUGGUCUAAUUCACACACUUAUCAAGAGAACAUCCCAUGUCAUCCCUACUGCCUCUGAUCUGGUGGACUAACUAAACACAUGCCCUAUUUGUAAAUGGUUGGAGUGUGCCCUUGACUAUCCGUAAAAAAAAAAUUUUUAAAGAAUGUUGUGCCGUUUGGAUUGCCUAAUAGAAAUAAUUAGAAAUAGUUUAUACUUUUGAUACUCUAUCUUUUUGCAAUUACAUUUUACUUUUUAUAGUUUUUACUCGUAGUAUUUUAUUGGACGAAUUUCACUUGAGUGAUUUUCUAUUAAGGUAUAUUUGUACUUUUACUCUACUUUUGACAAAUGGGUUAUUUUUCCGCUGCUACUACAACCUGCGGCGGAUGCUACUGCUUCUGUCUGACUGGUUUAUGAUGUUCACAACUAAACAUGUCUGACUGGUUGGUUUCUGUGGUCUUCAGGAAGUGAGGAAGCUUUCCAAGGCAGUUGACCGGCUCCGCAGCAUCUACCGCCUCACUGCACGCAAACACAAGAUGGAUGCCGAGAGGACCGUGGUCAAGCAGAAGAUGGGGGCAUCCAUAAAUGGAAGCUUCAUCGUCCCGGCAACCCCCCGCAAAUCCAAGCCAGUGCCUAAAUUCUCCCCUGAUUGGGUUCUCAGAAAGGACAAACUGCAAGACAUAGUUGACCCUCUCCGAGCUGUACAGAUGGUGGCUGACGUCUUCUCUAUUGUGCUUUAAAUAUACUUAAUUAAAUAUUUUCUUUGGCUUUUUCCAUAGUCAUUUUUUUGUAUAAUUGUUUAUUAAAUGAUACGCAUAUGAUAAUUGUAUUUUUAAAGUUUUUUAAAAAUGUACUCUACGUUGUCUUUUUAUUUUAGCUUGUUAAUGUUUUGAUUCUAUCUAGAAAAAGCUCCAUGAGUUGUCUUUAACUUCAUUCAACAAGGAGACAUGAUGCAAGGUGUAUACACUGAUGGUUGGUGGCCACACGAUGGAAGCAUUUAACCUGUAGGUUAAUGGAUUGAAUAAGGGUGAAUUAAAAAACAUGUAGACCUAUUACUAUUAUCCCAUGUUAAUGAUCAAAAAACCUCUGUGGGAGAAAGACACUAGAAGUCUCCUGACAACGGGUGAGUAACGUGGCGUUUGAACUGUCUAGAUAGGUGUGUGAAGUAUCUGGUAAUUGAAAGAUGUGAUUUAGAUCUAAUUUGCAUAUGCCAAACAGAAAAUAUACUGGAGUGAUUCUUGAAUCCAUUCUGUAAAUAUUUACUUUGACUGCCUACUGCUGUAAAUAAAACAUCUGAUUUCACCUGAAA